ensembl:misc_RNA 7SK 7SK RNA
GAAUAUGAGAGCGAUCUGGCUAUAACAUCUCUCACCUCACUGAUCACCAGCAUUGAUUUGACUGAUCUGAUUGACUAGAUAGGUGUCCCUUUCCUCUCUUAUGACUCCAGGCAGUUUCUCCCUCAUGACCAUCCCAGGUAGAAGUGCACCAAUCUUGUUUCAGAACUAUACAAUAGUUGUGUUCUAGAGCUUCCAAGCAAGCUCAGGCAUUGUAAAUGUCAACUCAUAAAACAUCCCUAUGCCUGUUGUAGUAG